AGCAGCCGCGGUAAUUCCAGCUCCAAUAGCGUAUAUUAAAGUUGUUGCAGUUAAAAAGCUCGUAGUUGAAUUUCGGGAUCAAAUUGUUGGUCGUGCCUCGGUACGCACUGGUAUUAUUGGUUCCUACCUUCUGAAGAACCGCGAUGUCAUUAAUUUGGUGUCGUGGGGAAUCAGGACUGUUACUUUGAAAAAAUUAGAGUGUUUAAAGCAGGCUUACGCUUGAAUACAUUAGCAUGGAAUAAUGAAAUAGGACGUUUGAUUCUAUUUUGCUGGUUUCUAGGAUUGACGUAAUGAUUAAUAGGGAUAGUUGGGGGCAUUAGUAUUCAAUUGUCAGAGGUGAAAUUCUUGGAUUUAUUGAAGACUAACUACUGCGAAAGCAUUUGCCAAGGAUGUUUUCAUUAAUCAAGAACGAAAGUUAGGGGAUCGAAGACGAUCAGAUACCGUCGUAGUCUUAACCAUAAACUAUGCCGACUAGGGAUCGGAUGAUGCUAAUUUUUAAUGACUCAUUCGGCGCCUUAAC
rnacentral:rRNA from 1 species